CCUACGGGGGGCUGCAGUGGGGAAUAUUGGACAAUGGGCGCAAGCCUGAUCCAGCCAUGCCGCGUGAGUGAUGAAGGCCUUAGGGUUGUAAAGCUCUUUCACCCACGACGAUGAUGACGGUAGUGGGAGAAGAAGCCCCGGCUAACUUCGUGCCAGCAGCCGCGGUAAUACGAAGGGGGCUAGCGUUGUUCGGAAUUACUGGGCGUAAAGCGCACGCAGGCGGUUCGGUCAGUCAGAAGUGAAAGCCCCGGGCUUAACCUGGGAACUGCUUUUGA
rnacentral:rRNA from 1 species